UCUCUACUAUAAACAAGCACUUUGGCAACAGUGGGAAGAUUAAACUCACUUUUAACAGGAAGAAACCUUUAGCAGAACCAGGCUGAAGGAGGGGCAGCCAUCUAGCAUGACUUGUUGGGAGUGAGGAAGGAAAACAAUGGAAGACAGCAUGAAAUUAAUAACUAAUAAUUAAAUGCAGAGUGGUGUGCAAGCACAUAGUGAGCGAAGAAGGUGAGUGAACACGAAACAUUUGGUGCACUGUGGGAAGCCCCAAGCAGCAUUACUGAAGGAGGAUUCAGGGUCACCUGAUCCAGCCCUAACUAUAUGCUUUGUCAAAGCGGAAAGCCUAAUAGUCUAGACAAAACACUCAUCUCUGGUGAAUGCAGAUGGUGUCUGCAUAUGAAUAUAAUGCCCACUUCAAAGUUAUGCUCAAUUAAGUGCAUAACCACUUUGAGUAAAACUUGGGUGGUGACACAGGUGGCUUACUGUGUGGUUAUUUGUACCAGCAGAAAAGUAGUUAGCUUUCGGUGACAACUUUUCAUUCCACCCUCUCCUGCAAAUAUGGUUACCCCAAAACCCUGGGUGCUCAUAGGCAAAAUGGCAUAUUCAAGGCUUUAAAAUGGUAGUCUAGCAAACAAUGUGGUAGAUAUGUUGGCUUUAACCAUAUUUUACGUGCAGUGUGUUUUAUUUAUUCCGCCUUGUGUGGCAGGCAAACAAAAGCUGAAGCGUUCUAAUGUCUUUCUGGUCUUUGAUCAAAUUAUUUUAGAGCAAUUACUCAAAAUAAAACUGAUGACAUACAAAAAACAAAAGCCCCCAAAAAGCCAGCAAAGACAUAAGAAGUACUCGCUGUUUACUGACACUUCUUGCAGCAGCAGCAACACUCACACAAAGAGACUUCCUGUAUCUUUUCUUGGGAGAUCCAAGAGUGAUCUUAGGUCAACUGUGUUGUACUGUAAAUCAACAAAGUGGAAAGUCUGCCGGGACACUUAAGUAUCCUCUACCGCCACUUUCUCUUGAAUUGAGGACACACCUGCAGAAACAGAGCAGCCUGAGUGAUUUCUGCUCUUGCCUUUGCUUCCUUAGGCAGCCACGUGUUUUUACUGUAGACUCCUCCAAUGUGUUCUGCAUGCUUUUGCUUGUAAGGCCUCUGUGUCUUUUGCUAAAACUUUAUUUGAUCAGCAGUUUCUUUGGCAUCGACCAUGUUGAACACAAAGUAACUUCUUAGUGUCGGCUCAUAGCCAUUUCCUUCACCACACAGGGGUGUAAAUGGGUCAGUUUAGUACCUCAGAUUGUGCCACAUAAAGUUAAAAAAAAGUCAUCUAAUAUUUUGAGUUGAACUAUCUGACAUAAAACACCCUUUCCACAUGCCUCAGGCUUGUCCAGUCUCUACGCCUUGACAGCAGUAUCCAACUUGGCACGCAUAAUUUUCCUUCUACAUUCCAAAAGUCAAGUUGAGCUUAGUUAUAACUCUUCCAUUCUCUUUCUCUGUUAGCCUCUGUCCAGCUCAUCUGCUUUUUGUGGGGACACAGACAGCAGCAACAAUUUUCCCCUGUGGAAUUAGCGCCUGCGUGUGCACAGGCUGUGUGCCGCACAUCUACAAACUCAUGUAAACAAAGUGCCAUAGUAAAAUCACAUGCUAGGCCUCAAUGAUAGAAGAUGAGAAGAUCAGUCUGCAGCUGCAAGGAGCGACCAUAAGUGUCUUUAGCCUUAGUCUUUGAUUAAACAAAGCUUUGUUGAUGUAGGCCAGACAUGCUUGGAUGUUGGAUUAGUGUUGAAGCUGAUCAAUCACUUGGUCUUGUCCAAAUUCCUCUGGUUUCCUGUUUUUCCUAUUUUUGCUGCUAUUUUUAGAUGUAGUUUUAGUUGUAUUUAUUUAACUUUAUAAAAACUCAUUUUCCAUUACAUCUCCGAGGACAAAUCCACAUUCCACAUUUAAUUCACAACAUACAGUAAAGUCUUGCUCUGCUGCUUCAUCCCACAUGUGAUUUUUGCAGGACAAAAUUUUAUUAGUCUCAUUUGUAACAUAAUCUUGACAAAUGGGGACAUGUGGUCACAUCACAUUUCGGACCACUUACGCUUGUUAUUAAAACUAUUAUUAUCUAUAGGGCACAGAAAUCUGGAAAUGCUGCUUUUUAGGUGAAAAAUGGCCUGCAAACUGCAAAAAGCUCCACAAAGAUAUUCUAAAUAGUUGUUACACAUAUACAUUAAAAAUAAACAAGCCCAGCACAAAACAUGGCUGAACAUGGUUUUGCAUGCACAUCUGUGGAUACUUGCUCUUGCUUGUUGUUCACUUAAGUACACUCUGGAGCUGGUGGGGUCCCAUGAAAAGGCAUCUGUAACUUAUCAAGGAAACUAGAGUAAACGAAUUAUACUCCUCGGAGAACAAACAACAAUGUUUUUCUAGAAGGAGACAAAUAAAAAGGAGGAUUUGGAACUUUUCACGGUAUCUUGCUCUGUGAUAAAGGUUACGCGAGUGUAAAAGCUUUCUGUAGAACUGGUUUGAAUGGAGUAUAUAGUUCACAAGAUGGUAGCAACACCCAUAUGGAAAUAGAAAAGAGCUAUAGUAAAUGUUUAUGUUGUACAUGACUUAUCUCAUGCUAUGAUUUACUCAUGUAAGUGUCCCCUUUAGGAUUUUCUUAAACUAUAUGACUAUAAAAAUGAAGAAAUAAUCAAAGAAAACAUUAUGCAGCAUGAGAAAAAUGUGAAAGGACCUACUCUCAUAAUAGUGUGAGACAAAGAAAUAUUAUUGGACUUAUAAAUGAUCUUUUUUAGAUCAGCUUUCAGUAAUGACUCUAAAUAGAGAGAAAUAGCUACAAUAACAAUUAUCCUCAUCUGCCCUCCUCAUUCUUCUAUUUACGACACUUUUUAGGAGGUUAUUUGUGUACUUGCCAUUAGUUCCGGGCUGCUCCUUUGUUAGCCUCCUAAAAUAUUGUGGAUAAUUAUUUAAUGGGGCUUAUCUUAUCGUAUCAUGUAGCAUGUACCAGUUGUUGUAGUUUACACAACCAGUUCUUAUAGUGUUAGUGCUAAAGACCAACUGUUUAGGCUUAUCUUCAUUAGAGAUUGUUAAAGCCUUAACCUCAUAAGAUGGAUGUUACAUUAAGGAUGGACCAGUGGAUUGCCUUUACAGUUCCCAGUAGUUUAAAAGGUGUAAUCACACAGUUAGAUUUGCAGUGUACAGUUCCCAAUAGGGUGGGAAGUAGAGUCUGCAGUAAAUGUAACCAACCAUAUGGUGAUGUAAUUGGGAAGAGCAAAAACAAAUUCAUAAAAACUCACUGGUUACCACAUGGCCAUUAGUUGCAUGGUACUAAAACUGGGUUGGACCCUUUUUGCCGGAAUUCAUCAUGGAAACAUUCCUCGUGGAUUUUGAUCCGUAUUGAAGUGAUAGCAUCACACAGUUGUUGCAGAUUUGUUGGUUGCACAUCCUUGAUGGGACUCUCCAGUUUCACCACAUCCUGUAUGCUGUAUUGGAUUGAGAUCUGGUGACUGUGGCGGCCACAGUGAAGUCAUUGUUAAAUGUUCAAGAAACCAGGCUGAUGAGCUUUAUGAUACGGUUGAUUAUCCUGCUGGAAGUAACCAUCAGAAGAUGGGUAGAUUGUGGACAUAAAAGGAUAGACAAUGGUCAGCAAUCGUACUCAUGUAGGCUCUGGUUUUUAAAUGGUACUCAAGUGGUACUGAGCCAAGUGUGCCAAGAAAAUAUCCACACCAUUACACCACAGAUAGAUGGUAGGAUGGAUCCAUGCCCUCACGAUGUUAUCAGCAGAAAUCGAGACUCAUCAGACCAGGCAAUGUUUCCUCCCCCCAAUCUUCUCUUGUCCAAUUUCGACAAGGCCAUGCAAACUCUUGCCUCAGUUUCCUGUUCUUAGCUAACAGGAGUGUUGUUUUCAAAGAUGCUCUAUGAACACAUCACAUGAUACGUCAGAUGAUACGGAGGAAAUCAGAAAUCUCUCUCUUUGAAAGUCUGCCAAUUUAAAUUUUGCCAUAUCAAGGGGAAACCUGAUAGAGAAAUAAAAAAAAACACUUUCAAUUUCUUUUUGCAUUUUAGAAUAUUGUAUUCAAAUGCUUUCUUGUGGUGUAGUUUGUUAAACUCCAGAUAAAAAAGUGCAAGUACACUCUUGAGGAUCAGACGAUAGUAGAUGUUAGAUGUUUUUAUUGUGGAAAAUGCAUAGAGAUAAUGAUGGUGAGGUGAAGUGAGACAUUGAAUUAACAGCUGCUGUCUUCUGUGUGUUUCUCUCAAAUGUCUAGAGAGCAUUUUUCAAAUUUUGCACAGAGGUUUACUUGGAUUCAAGUUCAGUCUGAUUGGAAUCAGUUGGUCAAAGAUCAAGGUCGCUGUGAAUUAACAAAAGCCAUAGCUCAAGAAGUGAUGACAUUUGAUAUGCACAAGGUCAAGGGUCAAAUUCACUUGCCUUCAUAGCAAUCUGCUGCAAAAACACACUCGCCAUUAUUUAAAGCUGCAGCUCACGAACACAAGAGGGAAUUUUGACCAUAGUUCAUCUUUGGUCAGACACUGAAUUGGUGACGCUAAUCUUUAGCGUCUGUUUACCAAUUUAAUUCUUUUAAAGUCUUUUCUGCAUAUAAAAUAUGAGUCUGAGAUAUGUGGAUGCAGCAACCACAAAGUGGAAACUCUACUUUUGUUCUUUGUAGUAGAAUACAGUUUGUCUGAUAUAUACAAAUACCAAGAAACUGGUUUUAUAGUAUUUAAAAAUACUCCAAAGGACACUUGCAGAUGUUUGCUUGCGCAAGGCACGCGCUGAACAAUUCCAGGUCCAGUGAAGUAGUAGAUGAGUGUGAAAGAGAGGAAUGACAUUUUGAACGAGCUCCUUUCCACAGUCAAAGAAUUUUCCAUGGCCCUGCCAGGUCGCCCUGACAACACUGGUGACAGCCAUAGGCGGCCUGGCCAUCUGGAGGCCCCUGAUUUUUCCCAUUGGACUUGCUGAUCUAUGGGGCUGCUGUUGAGACCAGCAAAAGCCUUUGGCCCUGUGGGCUGUCCAGCUGAGUUUUUACAAAGUGCAAUUAGAAAAUCCGUUCUUGUGAUGCAAUGCAUGCUAAAUUUGAAGAAUUUUAGUAAAGCAAAAUAUUUUAUCACACAGGUUUCCAGUUUAUCUGCGGUUGAAUGUAGGAUAAAGCCUUGUAGCAAGUCUGUCAAGGUCAGAAGUUCAGAGACAAUUUUUAAUCCCAGUCUGCUUCUUCCUUAGCCUGCCUGAGCUCUUACACUAAGCUACAGGCACACUUCUGUCAGUUCAGGAUGUGCCUCCACCCCCCACCCCUAUUGCACUUUUUUCCUGAAUAUAGCCUUAAAAACAAUCAGGCUGUAUCAUCUUGUCCCCCUCUGCAGGUCUUGACAGCCAGAGCUUAGCCCUCAUUAUCAGCAAGUGCAUGUGCAGAGGGCUGCUGACGCUGUGUGUGUCGCUGCACACUGACGUCAGCAGUGCCCCACUCCUCUACAUGCAAAUGCCCUUCCUGUCUGGCUGCCAUUGAUACCGUUUCUCUGCCCUCCCCACGCACUCUUAUUAGCAUGUUUUUAUCAGUUCUAGCACCUCUCGCGCCACACAGCCCAGCUAAUAUGACACACAGGUGUAACCAGCCGGAGGCCUAAUGGCCCGCACAGUUUUAUUGACUCCUGUUAGGAAAUAUUUAUGACCUGUGAGAGGAGUUAUUUUCACAUUUCAUGUUAUGCCAUGUUUAUCAGUAUUUGCCAGUGUGUUUUGAUGUGUGUUCUUAUCUGUACAGCUCGCUUUCUAGCCAUCUUCAAACGUGCAGAGAAGCUCAAAAACUCUGGAGACGUCAGUUGGCAGCUCCCUAGUACAAACUCCAUGUGAGAACAAUGCAAGAUUAUCCGGAUAAUUCACAGCGAGCAAGUGGACGUCAUAUGUCCUGCAUUGCCCGUAGUUGACUGUUAAAAAUGCGUGCGUCUGAUAAUUUCCGUCCUGGAAAUAAAAUAAUCCUCAUAUAGGCGAUAUGUUCAGUUGUUAAUGUGUCACUGCUCCUACGUAAAAAAUGUGUUGAUUAAUUAAAUUAAUCAGAUAAGCAGGUGGUCUGACAUAAUCGGCAUCAUGUCAGAAAAAGUCAAAUUAAGCUGCAAGCAUGUUUAGUUUAGUUUGAUUCAAAUCUAGUUUUUAAUUAGUUUGAGUAAAAACAAAACAAAACUCUACCACAAUGUGAAAAACUGUCAUAGCACGUUUAAGUAUAAGUUGUAUCAAAAUGUACUUAAAAUUAGAAGGGAAAGUUGCAUAUUACCUAUAUUAACUAUGUUUAUUAUCGGUGUAUUACUGUUUCAUAAGGAUAAACAUGUACGUGUUAUAUCCAUGCUGCACAAUACUUUUGACGAGUAUAUCUGCAAUGCUUGCACGAUGGUGAAAGAGGUGAAUGGCAUUUCACUUGUGUUUUGCUGUGCCUGUGCAGCUGCCUGCGUAAAGGUGUCUACGUGUGCUGAAUUGUGCUUCUUUCCCCAUGCUAUGAUUUCGUGACGUCGCUGGAGACAAUAUCUCGUGCUCAUUGAAAGAUUUUUAUCGCGUCACGUGCACAAGGAGCACGUGCCUCUUGACACAAGCUUUACCGGUUGUGGCGCUAGCAGUGAUUCAUCCAGCUAUUCCUGUUUCUGAGCUUAGCGAGAAUCACGGAGGAGCCCGUGCUCUUGUGCGUUAUGCGCUCAGGUCUCAGCCCUUUACUCUCCAUCCCGGCUUUAAUGGCAUCCGCUCCUUCAGCUUUUACCCAUCUCCCUCUCUGUUUCGGCCCUUCUAUUUCUCUCUGUAAACAAGCAGAAGGCCAACAACUCUGUCCUCAGGCUGUCUCCCGCCAUCUCGUUGCCAUGGUGUAUGGAGCAUUGUUUGCUGGCCUCUAUGUCGGGUUGCCAUGGCAGGGCUUAUUUGCCAUAUUAAAUGUUUGGCAGCACUGUACAGAUGCUGAUGACAAACACCCAUCAUCCCACUUUGAUCAGUGAAACAGUCAGUGAUUAGAGGAGAUGGCAUGGAUCUACUGAUCUAUUUAUCAAGCUUAGUAAUAGAUUACUGUAUGGACAUAAUCAACAAAUGAUGCCGCAGCUGG